rnacentral:misc_RNA from 1 species
AACUUUCGGCAACGGAUCUCUUGGCUCUAGCAUCGAUGAAGAACGCAGCGAAAUGCGAUAAGUAAUGUGAAUUGCAGAAUUCAGCGAUUCAUCGAAUCUUUGAACGCACCUUGCAACCUUUGGCAUUCCGAAGAGUAUGCUCGUUUGAGUGUCAUUGUACUCUCACACUCCCGAUGCUUUUGGAUCGGGAGCGGUGGACUUGGGCGUUGCUGCUUUACUGUGGCUCGCCUCAAAUGGAGUAGUGCAACUCUUGGUUGGACAUAGUACGGCGUGAUAAGUGUCUUCGCCGGCGCCUCACUAGAGGGUGGCUGAUCGGGAGCUCUGUGCUUCAAACCGUCUUCGGACAACUCUGACAACUUGACCUCAAAUCGAGUAGGACUACCCGCUGAACUUAAGCAUAUCAAUAAGCGGAGGCU